UGACAGGAGGUAAAAGGACCGGGGAGCCCCAGCGUCAAGAAAGGGCUUAAAAAGUAGUAGGAGGACAAGAAACCGGGGCCUAAGUCACAGGAAGGAGCAUUUCCCCCCUCUUGUUCUCACUCUCUCCAUCGUUCACGCUCCUGUCAAAUUCGUCUUCUCUGCGGUAAAGGCCCAAUCACAGAAUCAUAUGAUUUUACAACUGACAGGGGCCCCGGGGGUCACCUAAUCCAUUUCCCUCCUUCCUCAGGUGAAGAAACCGAAGCCAAAAAGAUCAAGCGGCCUGCGUAAGAUUACACAGGGGGCUGAUUCACUCGGCACUCCAUAAAUACUUAUUGAUCACCUACUAGGCGCCAGGCCUGUCCCAGGAGCCUUUGAUGGCAGAAAUGACACCCAAACCUGGAACUGACGCUUCUAGACGACUGCUUUUCAUUCUAGACUGGCGGUUCUCAAACUGCAGGCACUGUGCCCCAAGGCCCUGCUUGAAAUGGAAGCUCUCUUCAAAGCACAGAUUUCCACACACCCUGUGCCAUGCUCCAGGACUGUGAGUCAUAUACCUAGCCCAUCGCCCCCACACCCUGGCCCUGCCUUUAACUUGCCUCAAAAGAGCCUUUUGGAUCAGUGAGUCUCCUAAAAGGUGAAAGUGAAAAUUCCUUUCAGGAUUGCACCUUCAGACACCCAGAAAUAUACCUAUGGCCUGGCAAAGUAUAAGCUGACAGCAUCCAGAAUUCUAGUCUCUACCAAGCCAUGCAGCAUCACAGAGCUUACGGUUGAUGUCAAAUAAAUAGAUCACGAAGCCA